AACGUCUGUGAGUUUUACACCUCCUUCAACCCCUGUGGACAUACCUAAAACGUUGCUUCGGCGGGAAACACACGGCCCUAUAACAAGGGCCGCCCCCCCCAGGGACCCCUAACUCUGUUUUUAUAAUGUUUUUCUGAGUAAACAAGCAAAUAAAUUAAAACUUUCAACAACGGAUCUCUUGGCUCUAACAUCGAUGAGAACGCACCGAAAUGCGAUAAGUAAUGUGAAUUGCAAAAUUCAGUGAAUCAUCGAAUCUUUGAACGCCAUUGCGCCCGCCAGUAUUCUGGCGGGCAUGCCUGUUCAGGGUCAUUACAACCCUCAGGCCCCCGGGCCUGGCGUUGGGGACGGCGGAAGCCCCCUGUGGGCACACGCCGUCCCUCAAAACAGGGGCGGUCCCGGCCCAGCUUCCGGGCGUAUAACCUAACACCUCGAAGGGGGGAGGGGGCCGGGCCAUGCCUUAAAACACCCACUUCUAAAGGUCGCCCUCGAACAGGUAGGAAUACGGGAGGAACUUAAGUAAUCAAUAGCGGGAGAA
rnacentral:rRNA from 1 species